UGGGGGAUAUUGCACAAUGGGCGAAAGCCUGAUGCAGCGACGCCGCGUGGGGGAUGAAGGCUUUCGGGUUGUAAACCUCUUUCGCUAUCGAACAAGGCCCGCUUAGGGUGGGUUGAGGGUAGGUGGAGAAGAAGCGCCGGCUAACUACGUGCCAGCAGCCGCGGUAAUACGUAGGGCGCGAGCGUUGUCCGGAAUUAUUGGGCGUAAAGGGCUUGUAGGCGGCUUGUUGCGCCUGCUGUGAAAACGCGGGGCUUAACUUCGCGCGUGCAGUGGGUACGGGCAGGCUUGAGUGUGGUAGGGGUGACUGGAAUUCCAGGUGUAGCGGUGGAAUGCGCAGAUAUCUGGAGGAACACCGAUGGCGAAGGCAGGUCACUGGGCCAUUACUGACGCUGAGGAGCGAUAGCAUGGGUAGCGAACAGG
rnacentral:rRNA from 1 species